GAUUGGGGAAGGGGACAGUUCUGUCGGUAGGGACCGAGUUGGGGAUGGCACUGCAGGUUGACACAACUCGAAGGCCGACUUUUGGAGGCCCUAUUCGAGGAAGGCGGAAGGCUGAGCUGAACCAGGCAGUGCUACAGCGUCACUGCGAACGACCCCGACCCUGCGCUCUGCGCAUCCCGGCCCAGGACGAGCGGCGUGGCCAGGGCUAGGGGCUCCGGCGAGUCGCCCGCCCCCUGCUGGGACACCGGGAAAGUGCAGAUGGCCCUACCGAGGAGCCCUACCCCUCACACCCGACGCCCAGACCUUGGGAGGUCACUUCUAACCUCAGCCGCGACUGUCUUCCUUCCGGGACCCUGUGUGUGAUUUAUCUGACCAGAUGGCUCAGGACUGGAGACAUUGGGGCUAAACAUAUUUAUUGACAUGUUUUGGAUACUGGAGAAUAAACCUAGCCGGGCUUCACCACUGAGCUCAAUCCUCAGGCCCUUUUUAUUUUGGGACAGACUUCCCUAAAUUGCUAAGACGGGCCUCCAACUUGCGAUCCUUCUGCCUCAGCCGCCCUAAUUGCUUGGAUUACAGGCGUGUGCCACCACACCAAGCUGAAGCACCAUUUUUCAUGAAAAAGAAAAAGGGCUGGGAAUUUAGCUCAGUGGUAUAGCUUCUCUGAGUUCAAUCAAUAUCCAGUACUGAAUAAAAAAAGGUGCACUGGUUGUGAGAAGGCAUCUUUUGUCAC
rnacentral:lncRNA from 1 species